UACGGGGGGUGCGAGCGUUGUCCGGAAUCACUGGGCGUAAAGGGCUCGUAGGCGGUUCGUCACGUCGGGAGUGAAAACUCGGAGCUCAACUCCGAGCCUGCUUCCGAUACGGGCAGACUAGAGGUAGGCAGGGGAGAGCGGAACUCCAGGUGUAGCGGUGAAAUGCGUAGAUAUCUGGAGGAACACCGGUGGCGAAGGCGGCAUCCUGGACCGGCAUUGACGCUGAGGCGCGAAAGCUAGGGGAGCAAACGGG
rnacentral:rRNA from 1 species